GGGUGCGACCAUACCAGUACUAACGCACCGGAUCCCAUCAGAACACCGAAGUAAAGCGUGCUUGGGCGAGACUAGUACUUGGAUGGUUGGCCCCCUGGGAAGUCUUCCUGUUGCACCCC
rnacentral:rRNA from 1 species